GGGGGUGUGGCUCAAUGAUGGAGUACUUGACUAGCAUACAUGAAGCCCUGGGCUCCAUCCCCAGUUCUGCCA
rnacentral:tRNA from 1 species